CCUACGGGUGGCAGCAGUCGGGAAUCUUUCACAAUGGGGGAAACCCUGAUGCAGCGACGCCGCGUGAAGGAAGAAGUAUCUCGGUAUGUAAACUUCCAUCAGCAGGGAAGAAAAUGACGGUACCUGUCCAAGAAGACCCGGCUAACUCCGAGCCAGCAGCCGCGGUAAUACGUAGGGGGCAAGCGUAAUCCGGAUUUACGGGGUGUAAAGGGAGCGUAGGCGGGUUAGCAAGUCAGAAGUGAAAGGCCGGGGCUCAACUCCGGGACUGCGUAUGAAAAUGUUGAACUAGAUUGCAGGAGGGGGAAGUGGAAUUCCUGGUGUAGCAGUGAAAUGCGUAGAUAUGAGGAGGAACACCAGUGGCGAAGGCGGCUUACUGGACUGUAAAUGACGCUGAGGCACGAAAGCGUGGGGAGCAAAAGGGAUUAGAUACCCGAGUAGUC
rnacentral:rRNA from 1 species